rnacentral:rRNA from 1 species
GAUGGUGGCGAACGGGUGAGUAACGCGUAGAUAAUCUGCCCUUUAGACUGGGAUAAGCUCGGGAAACUGAGUCUAAUACCGGAUGUUAUGUUCACUUCGCAUGGAGAGAAUAUCAAAGAACUUGAUUCGCUAAAGGAUGAGUCUGCGUGGCAUUAGCUAGUUGGUGAGGUAACGGCUCACCAAGGCAUCGAUGCCUAGCUGGUCUGAGAGGAUGAUCAGCCACACUGGGACUGAGAUACGGCCCAGACUCC